GACGAACGCUGGCGGCGUGCUUAAUACAUGCAAGUCGAGCGAUCAGACCACUUCCUUGCUACACUGACGUUGGCCGCGGAAGUAACACUUACAUGUCCUGCACUCACCUCUCAGAUAAGCCUAGCUACCUGAGUCUAAUGCCACAAAUGACCUAUCCUCUCAACGGGUUUGUUGAAUAGUUUUUUCCGCUUUUGCUGUCCCUUAUAGCUAGAACCGUGCUGCUUUAGUUAGUUGGUAAGGUAACGGCUUACCAAGGCAACGAUGCGUAGCCGACCUGAGAGGGUGAUCGGCCACACUGGAACUGAGACACGGUCCAGACUCCUACGGGAGGCAGCAGUAGGGAAUCUUCCGCAAUGGGCGAAAGCCUGACGGAGCAACGCCGCGUGAGUGAUGAAGGUCUUCGGAUCGUAAAACUCUGUUAUUAGGGAAGAACAAAUGUGUAAGUAACUAUGCACGUCUUGACGGUACCUAAUCAGAAAGCCACGGCUAACUACGUG
rnacentral:rRNA from 1 species